rnacentral:rRNA from 1 species
UACGGAGGAUGCGAGCGUUAUCCGGAUUUAUUGGGUUUAAAGGGUGCGUAGGCGGGCUUUUAAGUCAGCGGUAAAAAUUCGGGGCUCAACCCCGUCCGGCCGUUGAAACUGGGGGCCUUGAGUGGGCGAGAGGAAGGCGGAAUGCGUGGUGUAGCGGUGAAAUGCAUAGAUAUCACGCAGAACCCCGAUUGCGAAGGCAGCCUUCCGACGCCCUACUGACGCUGAGGCACGAAAGUGCGGGGAUCGAACAGG